CCUUUGAUAAGGCCGGCCCGGUCCCCAAGGGCAGAGAAGAUGUGAAGAGGCUUCUGAAACUACACAAGGACCGGUUCCGAGGUGACCUGCGGUGGAUCCUCUUCUGUGCAGACCUGCCGUCCCUCAUCCAAGAAGGCCCUCAAUGCGGGCUGGUGGCCUUGUGGAUGGCAGGUACUCUCCUGUCGCCCCCCAGUGGCGUCCCCCUGGAGAGACUCAUACGGGUGGCCACGGAAAGAGGCUACACGGCCCAGGGAGAGAUGUUCUCAGCACCAGCUACGACGAGGACUUCAACCAUGAGCCGUGUCAGAGGAAGGGCCACAAGGCACACUGGGCGGUGAGUGCAGGCACAAGAAUAGCCGCCCAGUGACUGCCAAGUGAGUGAACCAGCCUGCUUGGAGCCUGCCUCUUUCCCAAACUGCUCAUUAUCCUGUUACCCCACCCAGCCCACGUGUCCAAAUACACUCCAGAUGCAAAAUAAAAAGCUCUACGACA
rnacentral:lncRNA from 1 species